GCUUCAUGGAACUGCAUGCAGAACACAGGCACUCAAAAUGCCAAACAAGAGAGACUUUCCAAAGUUAAACUUAGCAGCAGCUACAAGGUUCAGAAAUCACCCACAUUUCCACAGAGUCCUCAGGAAUAUAAAACACAAAAAUCCUCGUCUAAAGGAUGCUCUGACUCCGAAGUUAUAUUACAAGACAGGCACACUCCUGAAAAUGCCGUGUAUUGCAGAGGAAAGCUGUAAUUCAGGUAGAGGUGACAGGAAGACUGAUACUCUUUGGCUUGCUGUAUUUUCCAUCAUGAGAGUUUCAGCAUAACAUCAUGUUGAACAGGACAAAGAAGAAAUUACUGGGAUAAUUCAAAUUAAUAAAAUGUAUAAAGCCCACGGUCAACAUCCACAAUGACAGCCUUGACUUUUUUAGGGGAUCACUGUUUCCUCCUAUGCUAGUAUGCAAAGCAAGAGAGCUCAAACAAG